GCAUAACUAGUAUUGGAGGCACUGCCUGCCCAGUGACGACCGUUAAACGGCCGCGGUAUCCUGACCGUGCAAAGGUAGCAUAAUCACUUGUUCUCUAAAUAGGGACUUGUAUGAAUGGCCACACGAGGGUUUUACUGUCUCUUACUUCCAAUCAGUGAAAUUGACCUUCCCGUGAAGAGGCGGGAAUAUAUUAAUAAGACGAGAAGACCCUAUGGAGCUUUAACUACUUAGCCCAAAGAAAUAAAUUUCAUUACUAAGGAAACAACAACACUCUUUAUGGGCUAACAGCUUUGGUUGGGGUGACCUCGGAGAACAAGAAAUCCUCCGAGCGAUUUUAAAGACUAGACCUACAAGUCGAAUCACACAAUCGUUUAUUGAUCCAAAAAAUUGAUCAACGGAACAAGUUACCCUAGGGAUAACAGCGCAAUCCUAUUCAAGAGUCCAUAUCGACAAUAGGGUUUACGACCUCGAUGUUGGAUCAGGACAUCCCGAUGGUGCAACCGCUAUCAAAGGUUCGUUUGUUCAACGAUUAAAGUCCUACGUGAUCUGAGUUCAAACCGGAGGA
rnacentral:rRNA from 1 species